AACGAACGCUGGCGGCAUGCCUAACACAUGCAAGUCGAACGAGACCUUCGGGUCUAGUGGCGCACGGGUGCGUAACGCGUGGGAAUCUGCCCUUGGGUUCGGAUAACAGUUAGAAAUGACUGCUAAUACCGGAUGAUGUCUUCGGACCAAAGAUUUAUCGCCCAAGGAUGAGCCCGCGUAAGAUUAGCUAGUUGGUGAGGUAAUGGCUCACCAAGGCGACGAUCUUUAGCUGGUCUGAGAGGAUGAUCAGCCACACUGGGACUGAGACACGGCCCAGACUCCUACGGGACGGCAGCAGUGGGGAAUAUUGGACAAUGGGCGAAAGCCUGAUCCAGCAAUGCCGCGUGAGUGAUGAA
rnacentral:rRNA from 1 species